UGGGGAUUAUUGCACAAUGGGCGCAAGCCUGAUGCAGCCAUGCCGCGUGUAUGAAGAAGGCCUUCGGGUUGUAAAGUACUUUCAGUCGGGAGGAAGGUGUCAAGGUUAAUAACCUUGGCAAUUGACGUUACCGACAGAAGAAGCCCCGGCUAACUCCGUGCCAGCAGCCGCGGUAAUACGGAGGGUGCAAGCGUUAAUCGGAAUUACUGGGCGUAAAGCGCACGCAGGCGGUUGAUUGAGUCAGAUGGGAAAUCCCCGGGCUUAACCCGGGAAUAGCAUCUGGUACUGGUAAGCAAGAGUGUUGUAGAGGGGGGUAGAAUUCCAUGUGUAGCGGUGAAAUGCGUAGAGAUGUGGAGGAAUACCGGUGGCGAAGGCGGCCCCCUGGACAAAGACUGACGCUCAGGUGCGAAAGCGGGGGGAGCAACAGG
rnacentral:rRNA from 1 species